rnacentral:rRNA from 1 species
UACGGAGGGUGCAAGCGUUAAUCGGAAUUACUGGGCGUAAAGCGCACGUAGGUGGUUUGUUAAGCCAGCUGUGAAAUCCCCGGGCUCGACCUGGGCACUGCAGUUGGAACUGGCAAGCUAGAGUAGGGUAGAGGGGUGUGGAAUUCCAGGUGUAGCGGUGAAAUGCGUAGAUAUCUGGAGGAACAUCAGUGGCGAAGGCGACACCCUGGACUCAUACUGACACUGAGGUGCGAAAGCGUGGGGAGCAAACAGG